UACGUAGGGUGCAGGCGUUAAUCGGAAUUACUGGGCGUAAAGCGUGCGUAGGCGGUUUGUUAAGACAGGUGUGAAAUCCCCGGGCUUAACCUGGGAACUGCAUUUGUGACUGCAUCGCUGGAGUACGGCAGAGGGGGAUGGAAUUCCGCGUGUAGCAGUGAAAUGCGUAGAUAUGCGGAGGAACACCGAUGGCGAAGGCAAUCCCCUGGGCCUGUACUGACGCUCAUGCACGAAAGCGUGGGGAGCAAACAGG
rnacentral:rRNA from 1 species